GAGGUAAAAUGUUUUCUUCUUCUUCCAUACAAAAUGCUUGAAGAUUCAGCUCAACAUAAAUGAAGUGGAUAUUCAAUUCUUGAUUGUAUUUCUGGUUUUAUUCUUGUUGGCAGCCAAGAAGUUUGGAGUCAAUGAGUUCGUGAACCCAAAAGAUCACGACAAACCUGUACAAGAGGUUAAUUCAUUGAAAAUUUCAUAUUAUGUUAUAUUUACGUUGACUUAAAGCUAUGCUUUUCCAACUUAUACUUUCACAUUCUGAUGCUAUGAAUUAAAAAUGUGAAUGCUGGUGUGCAGGUAAUUGCUGAAAUGACCAAUGGAGGUGUGGAUCGUGCUGUUGAAUGCACUGGCAGCAUCCAGGCCAUGAUCUCUGCAUUUGAAUGUGUCCAUGAUGUAUGCGAAAGCAGAACUCUUUUAUUCUAUGUUGCUGAAGAGUUCCUAUAAACCAAGGCCUAAUCUUGAUUGAUUUCUUCUUCUUUUUCACAGGGUUGGGGUGUUGCUGUACUUGUUGGAGUGCCAAACAAAGAUGAUGCAUUCAAAACUCAUCCUGUGAAUUUCUUGAAUGAGAGGACUCUUAAGGGCACCUUCUAUGGCAACUACAAACCCCGCACUGAUCUUCCUAAUGUUGUAGAGAUGUACAUGAGAGGGGUAAUUAAGCUUAUAAAAUGAUUUUCCUAAAGUCAUUCAAGUAGAACUAGUACAAUUUUGUUGCUAAGCAUCUUAUGGUGAUACUUUUGCAGGAACUUGAACUGGAGAAAUUCAUCACCCACACAGUUUCGUUCUCUGAGAUUAACAAAGCUUUUGAUUACAUGCUGAAAGGAGAGUCCAUCAGAUGCAUCAUCCGCAUGGAGGAGUAAAACCCAAAAACAAUGAUGUGUGAGUCCCUAUUUGGGGACUGAGUUCUCUUUCUGGUUGUGAAAGAAAAAAGGCAUAUAUAAAUAAUCCCUUAGGAGGAUUAUGAAAUUUGUGAUGUUUGAAUGUAUAGAAUGGCAGGGCCUUUGCUUCUGGGCUUGUCUAAUACAGAAUAAAUAAAAUGUGGCUUUUUUCAAUUUGCUGCUGUUCUAGUUAAUAAUUUAUUUUCAUCAUUCUAAAGUUAAAACGUUGUCUGAGGUUAAUAAUCUAAAGUUAAACGGAGAGCUUCGUUUUGACUAUUUGUAAGGUUAAUAAUCUAAGAACUGGUGCUGUCUUUGAUAUUUAGGAGUCUAGGAGCUUGUGUGAAAGUUUGUAAAUUGCAUUUGAAGAUGUUUAUAAGGGUGAAGUCUGGAUAGCUUUAUGCAACAAGAUGGGGAAUAUUUUAAGAUGCAAUUAGAUUAAAUGUAUACUUCAAUCAUCCAAGGAUUGGCACAGGAACAUUACAGUUCUAGUAUCUUUGUUUAGCAUAAACAUUGGUUCCACAGAUGAAUUCUCAAGUUAAAAGGGAUCAGUGCUUAUAAUGUUUAAAGUUGAAUUUGAAAACAACAUCAAUUAAUACAAAGACUAAAUGUAGCUAUAUGUUACCAGCUUUGAUGUUAAUUUGCUCCAUCUUUUGGUAGCAAAUAUGAGAAGAGAAUUUCGUUCCACAUAUCAGGAACACCAGGUAGACACCAAUGACUGCAAUCUGGCACAGAUGGCUUGUCACUCCAUGUACCCACAUGUCCAUCACUCCUAUAUGCUCCCAUGGGUGUAACAUGCAGAACUGUCACAGGAACAGUCAUUUUUUUUCACAACUCUGUUGAUCAUGUCUGAAAUUGGACUCUUGUCCCUGCCAUUUGUUCUCUUCCAAGGCCUUCGGGCCACCUUGCAAGCGUGGCGGUUCUGUCCACUGCCACAAAGAUAAGCAUAUUAAUAGCAUGUUUGACUAACUUCUCUUUCCACAGAAUCAAUUUUGAAAUCCAAAAGCUAUUCACAUAAGUUUCUCACUAGAAUUGAUUCUUAAUUGCAGAAAGAUUUCCAAACAUGCUAUAAGCCUUAACUCUUAUAGUUCACACUUUGCGCCUACCAUUAAGUUUGAUGGCCCUUGUGUUGCCAAGAGAAUAGAGAAAUAAACCCUUAAUUUGGUUAUGUUUAGUCAUUGUCUCAUCUAUAAACUUGCAAAACAAAUAGAUAAAAAUGGUGUUAAAACUUACCUCCAGUGAGAUGAUUCAAAGGUACGGAAGAAUACUCUUGUCCUGUUUGUGUUAAUUGUAUUCUCUACCCAAGAGGCCCAGGUGAGUAAAGCUGUGUUGAAAGCAGAAUUAAUUGGCAUUCCAAGCUUCAGUGAGUUACCAACCUGAAAGUACCAGCCCCUGGCUGAAGAGCAUGUUAGUAGCAAUAGUAGACAUUCUUCAAGAAAAGUUUAGGCUAGUCAUGUAGGGAAAACUAACACAUAUAUUAGUUAUACAUGAAUAUCCAAACAUUUUCACGUCUGGCUAACUCCGUGGAUGUUUGGAUACACGGUGCAAAAUCAACGUUAAGCCAAAAUCAUGGUGGAACGCCACAAAAACUAAGGACUCACAGUUUCUUCCACAAACAAAUACAAAUUCAUUACCAGCUCACUCAUCAAAUCAUUUUCUCAGUUCAUCUUAAUUUGUGAAAGCUAGCUAUGUCGAGCACAGAUGGUCAGGUCAUCAAAUGCAGAGGUCAGUGACACAAUCAUCAUCCACUCUAAUCUUUCCUUCUGUUCUGUUUUGAUCUAUCUAUCUAUCUGCUACCUGCUCUAUUUCUAGUUUACUUAUUUUACUUUAUAGGCAUUGAUUUUUCGGGUUUACACUAAAACUAACUAUUAUCAUCAUUCAUCAAUAUCUAAUCUUCUAACUAAUCUAAUUUCUGGAUGGGACAUAUUCUUCACACUUUUUAUGGCUAAUUAAACUCCAUUUAGCUUCAAAUGUUGAACAAAGUUUUGAUCUAUUUAGCUGAUUUUUCUUCUGUAUCCAGAAAAUUUUAAUUCCCUUUUUUCUGAUCCUUCUGAGUAAAUAAAGAAAAUUGUAAAUUCUGUUAGUUAACUGUUUCUGAUCCUUCUGUAUUGCUAAUGGAAUGAAUGAAUGUCCUGUUUUGAAAUGUACUAGCUGCGGUUUCAUGGGAGGCGGGGAAGCCGCUUGUGAUUGAAGAAGUGGAGGUGGCGCCACCGCAAGCCGGAGAAGUGCGUCUCAAGAUACUCUACACAUCCCUCUGCCACACUGAUGUUUACUUCUGGGAAGCUAAGGUAACAAACAACACACUUGCAUUACUCACUCAACAUUCUGUUUAUAUUUAGCUCAAGUUUAACAUAGAUCUUCAUUUUCCCAUUGUUUCAGGGUCAGACUCCAUUGUUUCCUCGUAUAUUUGGUCAUGAAGCUGGAGGGUAUGUUUCUCUUUUGAAUAUAACACUUGUGCACACAAUUAAUGAUUAUAAAUCCUUGCCUUUUUGAUAAAUUUGGUUCAUAUUUCUUAAGUUUAUAUGGUUUCAACAUGGAAUGCUUUUGGUUAAACCUUACUAAUAAUGUUGUUAUGAUGUUAUUCAGCAUUGUGGAGAGUGUAGGCGAAGGUGUUACUCAUCUGAAACCAGGGGACCAUGCUCUCCCAGUAUUCACAGGAGAAUGUGGUGAAUGCCCACAUUGCAAAUCAGAGGAGAGCAACAUGUGUGAUCUUCUUAGGAUCAACACUGAUAGGGGUGUCAUGAUCAGUGACAACCAGAGUAGAUUCUCCAUAAAAGGAAAACCCAUAUACCAUUUUGUUGGUACCUCAACAUUCAGUGAAUACACAGUUCUUCAUGCUGGAUGUGUUGCAAAGAUCAACCCUGCUGCCCCACUUGACAAAGUUUGUAUUCUCAGUUGUGGAAUAUGCACAGGUUUUGGUGCCACUGUCAAUGUUGCAAAACCAAAACCUGGUUCUUCUAUUGCCAUCUUUGGACUUGGAGCUGUUGGCCUUGCUGUAUGUUCCCCUUAUGCCUUUUGCUUUUGUGUGUGCAUAUGUUAUACUUAUACUUUUUACAGCAACUUAUAAAGGCUAAUAUUGACUUGAAAUUUAGGCUGCGGAAGGGGCAAGGAUUUCUGGUGCAUCAAGAAUCAUUGGGGUUGAUUUAGUUUCCAGCCGAUUUGAAGAAGGUAAACUGAUUUCUUCUUCUUCUUCUUCUUCUUCUUCUUCUUCUUCUUCUUCUUCUUCUUCUUCUUCUUCUUCUUCUUCUUCCAUACAAAUGCUUGAAGAUUCAGCUCAACAUAAAUGAAGUGGAUAUUCAAUUAUUGAUUGUAUUUCUGGUUUUAUUAUUGUUGGCAGCCAAGAAGUUUGGAGUCAAUGAGUUCGUGAACCCAAAAGAUCACGACAAACCUGUACAAGAGGUUAAUUCAUUGAUAAUUUCAUAUUAUUUGUUAUAGUUAUGUUGUCUUAAAGCAAUGCUUUUCCAGUUUAGACUUUCAUAUUCUGAUGCUAUGAAUUAAAAAUGUGAAUGCUGGUGUGCAGGUAAUUGCUGAAAUGACCAAUGGAGGUGUGGAUCGGGCUGUUGAAUGCACUGGCAGCAUCCAGGCCAUCUGCAUUCGAAUGUGUCCAUGAUGUACGUAAAAGCAGAACUCUUAUAUCUUUGUUGCUAAAGAGUUUAUAUAAACCAAGGCCUAAUCUUGAUUGAUUUCUUCUUCUUUUGUUCAGGGUUGGGGUGUUGCUGUACUUGUUGGAGUGCCAAACAAAGAUGAUGCAUUCAAAACUCAUCCUGUGAAUUUCUUGAAUGAGAGGACACUUAAGGGCACCUUCUAUGGCAACUACAAACCCCGCACUGAUCUUCCUAAUGUCGU
rnacentral:lncRNA from 1 species